rnacentral:rRNA from 1 species
CCUACGGGCGGCAGCAGUGAGGAAUAUUGGUCAAUGGGCGCGAGCCUGAACCAGCCAAGUAGCGUGAAGGAUGACUGCCCUACGGGUUGUAAACUUCUUUUAUAAAGGAAUAAAGUGAGGCACGUGUGCCUUUUUGUAUGUACUUUAUGAAUAAGGAUAGGCUAACUCCGUGCCAGCAGCCGCGGUAAUACGGAGGAUCCGAGCGUUAUCCGGAUUUAUUGGGUUUAAAGUGAGCGUAGAUGGGUUGUUAAGUCAGUUGUGAAAGUUUGCGGCUCAACCGUAAAAUUGCAAUGGAUACUGGCAGUCUAGAGUACAGUUGAGGUAGGCGGAAUUCGUGGUGUAGCGGUGAAAUGCGGAGAGAUCACGAAGAACUCCGAUUGCGAAGGCAGCUUACUAAACUGCCACUGACAUUGAUGCGCGAAAGUGUGGGGAGCAAACAGGAUUAGAUACCCUUGUAGUC